AGUUUACUUGGAUAGGAGUUCCCCAAGAUUAGGAGCAUGCUUCAGUUGAAGCUGUGAUUUGGAAACACUCACAAAUCCCAACAAAGCCAUCUCAUUCCUUGAGUGCCUCCCUGGAAAGGCCUGCUUAUCAGUAUUGAAAGAAUGAAUUAUUUCUAAUGAAGAAGAACUUAUUUUAAUCCCUGUCAGAUUUGAGGAAUUUCUAGGCAGGCUACUUUUAUUGUUUCCUUUCCAAGAGUUUGUCUCAGUACUGCCAUAAACUGCAAUAGAAAUAUCAUUUUAUAAAUGAAUCUGAAGGUUAUUGCACAGGCCUAUUGAACGUACUCAGGAUCAAUUUGUGUGUGAUUACACAGCAGUGAGCUAGCACCUGGAAGUCUAUGAAGAAAUUCAGAAAGGUUCCAGGAACUGCUCAUCUGUGCUACAGACGCAUGCUGCUCAACCUUCAGUGUGUCAUGCUGCUCUUCAGAAUGACUUCCAGUGCAGAAUUGAUGUUCUGACGACUACAGUCAUGGUCUGCUGCUGCUGCAGGACUUGAACCACAGGGCCUGUUGCAGGGGUUGGAGCAACCACAUGGCCUAUAUGGAGAGUGGACAUUGUAUGGAAUAUAAUUUAAGAAUUACACCUGGCAUGUUUAUCCUAUGGACCACAUGUGGCCCAGCCCAGCUUGUACUGCAGCCAUCCAUUGCCCUGAGCCAUUAUGGCAGCAGCUCUGCCCCACUGAGCGGCCUAUGUAUAUGCAGCCCAAGACAAUUCUUCACUCAAUGAGGCCCAGGCAAGCCAAAGGGUUGGACACGUGUAUAUUACACUGUAUAUAUAUAUGACACUCUUAAAAUAUUGUCUAGCAUACAGAAUACUCGUGAUCACUUAUCCUUUCUUUAAAAUACGUGUGAAAUUGGACUGGGACAAUAAGAGAGAAAAAAAUCAUGGGAAAGAUGCUCCAGAGCCUUCACUCAUUUUGCAAACCAAGCUCCAAGUCCGAUCCCUGUGCUUUUGACUGGAUCUUUCUUCUCUUCAAGAGUAUUUUUCAAGGAAGCUCACAAGGUGGUGCUGUAUCAUCUUCCAUGUCAGAGCUAGGAAAACUGUUUUGUAUUGACUGAAACCAGAGUGGAACAGAUUCACCCUUCCAGACUGAUUUCAACCCACCUGGUUUGGUUUUGGUUUAGUGUUUUGGUGGGUUUUGUUUUGUUUUUAUUUUCUUUUUCUUUUCCUUCUUUUUCUUUGAGCCUCUGAGAAUUGACUGUUGGUACAGCUCUGAGGAAAGGAAUUUACUCUUCCUGCUAACCUCUGAAGUGAUGAUGUACAAGAAAUUAAAUCUGAUUUUUCUUGGGAUACACUCAGAAAACUAUGAAGGUUUCUCCUAUCUAGGCAUACUCCUAAAUAUUUGCUUAGUACUCUCUUAUUUUAGUUACUUAAGGGAAAUGCAGUGUUGAAUAACUGCAUGACAGAAAGUUACAUCACAGUCAAUAGAAAAAAAUGCUGUGCACGUUUGGAUGGCUAUAGGGUUGAAAUUUUGGUGGGGGGAAGAAUGUGGACAGACUAUAGUUUAAACUUGUUUCUUCUCUUCAAAAUGUAUUUGGCACAUCCCAAAGAAUUGACGCAUCUACAAAGAAUCUGCUUUGUCAUUGGAUGCUCUGAACAUGCGGGUUGCACGCAAAGUAUUUAAUUCUUUGCAACACACUCAUAUCUGGAGAAAAUUCUUUCACUUCUCUCUCCUGGGGUAAUUUCAAAUUAUUUCACUCCAUGGGCUUCUUUUCAGUUAAUUUUAGUAUAAUCUUACUCUUUUAACACUUUUCUCAGUGCUGCUCCCCCCCGCCUUCUAAUUCAGCUGAUUUGUUAUGUGCUAACAGCUACUUUGAAAGAAGAAAAUUCAAGUAUUAUGAGUGAGGCAUAUCUAUUGCUCUCUAAAAAAGGGAGGAGGCCAUAUAUGCUCAUAGAAGACACUAAACCGCUUAUAUAAUUAUUGCUGUUUUAAUGUAACUAUUAAUGUACUGCAUCUCAUGUCAUAUCUUGCAUUUUGGUCCUAUGAGGUUAUAGUUAAAGCAGCCAAAUAGUAUGAGAGGAAAAAUGCUCUUUGUAAACUCUUCAGAAAAGGAGGAAAAUCAGCCCAGAAAUGUUUCUAGGUUCAUUCCUUUCUAGAUGUGUAAACAAGAGGGAGCCCACAUGGGUAUUGUGAGGUUUGUGCUUACUAAAGCAGCUAUGACUGAUAAAAGCCUUUCCAGUCUGGAGAUGCUGUGCAGCUUGCUCCUGGAGAUGUGUGGGCUGAAUUUUGGCGUUGAUAGUUCUGCUUUUCAGUGGCAUAAAGAAAACACUUUGGUUAUAAUAAUUAAAUAUUCUUCU
ensembl:lncRNA